rnacentral:rRNA from 1 species
GAUGAACGCUGGCGGCGUGCCUAAUACAUGCAAGUCGAACGGAGAGUCUUUGUAGCAAUACGAGGGCUUCUUAGUGGCGAACGGGUGAGUAACGCGAUGGUGACCCGCUCCAACGUGUGGGAUAACAGUCCGAAAGGAUUGCUAAUACCGCAUGUGGUCCUCGGGUUUAGAAACCGGUGACUAAAGCAGUAAUGCGUUUUGGGAGGGACCUUCGUCCCAUGGGCUAGUUGGUGAGGUAACGGCCCACCAAGUCUACGACGGGUAGGGGACGUGAUAGGGUGGCCCCCCACAAUGGAACUGAAACACGGUCCAUACACCUACGGGUGGCAGCAGUAGGGAAUAUUGCACAAGGGGCGAAAGCCUGAUCCAGCAAUACCGCGUGAAUGAUGAAGGCCUUAGGGUUGUAAAGUUCUUUUAGUUGCAAAGAUACUGACGGUACCAACAGAAAAAGCCCCGGCUAACUCCGUGCCAGCAGCAGCCGCGGUAA